CCCUUUACCUUCGAAGUCUCAAAAAAUGGUCUGGGUGAUGCGGGUGCCUCAAUGCUUGAUGCCAUGUUCUGUAAGAGGCCAAGGUUAAUGUAUGACUAUCACGUUCCCCACCAAGUGAAAUGUGCUAUUUCACCACAAACAUUGACGAAGUUAAGUUCAGUGCAGGCAAAAUGGAUAAGUCUGUAACUGGAACUCUGGAUAGUUGAUCCUCUGAAUGGCGAAAAAUUUAUCAAAGUUGCUGAGGUUCAGGGGUCUGAAAUUAAGCCAUUUGUGGAUAGUUUAUCUAAAUGCCCAAAACCCACUUAGAGCUCCAAAGAGGUCUUGUUUUCUUGUACUAUGGAUUUAAGGUGAUUCUCAAGAGGAACAAGUCGCCAUGGACCGAUGAGAUCGAG